rnacentral:rRNA from 1 species
UACGGGGGGGGCAAGCGUUGUUCGGAAUUACUGGGCGUAAAGGGCUCGUAGGCGGCCAACUAAGUCAUACGUGAAAUCCCUCGGCUUAACCGGGGAACUGCGUCUGAUACUGGAUGGCUUGAGUUCGGGAGAGGGAUGCGGAAUUCCAGGUGUAGCGGUGAAAUGCGUAGAUAUCUGGAGGAACACCGGUGGCGAAGGCGGCAUCCUGGACCGACACUGACGCUGAGGAGCGAAAGCCAGGGGAGCAAAGCGGGG